UCCCCAAGGAUGAGUAGGAAGUUAUAAUCCUUUCCUCUCCUUUCUUUCCAUGUCUUUGAUCUUUGUCGCAUCCUUGUAGGCAUGGAGCCUGAAAUUUUAGCCAAACUGUGGAAGAAUGCCCCUAAGAGAAGGACGGCUUCAGCUACCGAGGGUUCUUUGAAGAGGGCAAAGACCAUCAAGGUUGGCGAAGGUGGGGCCCCAUCUGAACGGGUCCCUC
rnacentral:lncRNA from 1 species